rnacentral:lncRNA from 1 species
GCACCAUUCCUUAAAAACAACAUCUGAAGAAUCCCUUUUUGUUCCUAUACUUUCAGAUAUGUCCUCUGACAACCAAAUUCCUCUGUCACUCUAAACAUGCACAGACCCUGUCAUUUUCCUUUAUUAAGCAGAGGGCAAAAGUAUUAAGGAUUUUAUAACACCUUUUAUUAAAAUAUUGAAGGAACUUCCAACAUUAGCUUUGGAGCUGUGCUUACUGGCUUAUGUUUCUGUCUGGUCGAACAAACCUUGACCUCCAGACAGUCCCUUCUCGCUUGUAUUGCUCUCCAGGACUGGAAAACGUGCUGCUAUUCUAACUUGCUCUUGCUUUUAAACCCUAAUCUUAGAAUUAUCAAAAGAAGGAAAACUAAAGGUACUUUAUUCCCAUUAGAGAAACUAUUGCCGUCAUUGUAGCAAGUGCUGGAAUGUCCCUUUUUUCCUAUGCAAACUUUUUUUAACCCUUUAAUGAACUUAUCUGUUGAGUACAUUGAAAAAUAUUUUUCUUCCUAGAUUUUGUUGUUUAAAUUAUGGGGCCUAACCUGCAACUUAUUUUUUGUCAAUUUUUUAAACUUUUUUUUAAUUACUGUAAAGAAAAUGAAUUUUUUCCUGCAGCAGGAAACAUAGUUUUGAGUAGUUCUACCUCUUAUUUGUAGCUGCCAGGCUUUCUGUAAAAAUUGUAUUGUAUAUAAUGUGAUUUUU